CACAAAUUCAGUCUUGAUAAGUAUGAGGGGUUUAUAAAAAGGGAAGAGCUAUAAAUUCAGUCUUCAUAGCAGUAAUAUUAUACAUCUAAUUGUGAAUUAUAAGAUACAAAUAUAAACGUGAUCCAUUUCUUAUGAUUAGUAAAAGACUCAGCAUAUAUGAGAGCAUAUAAAAACAUUAUUUUUAGUAUACAGAAAAUACUAAAUAUUAAUCUCCAUCAAAUUAACUAGGUUAAUAUUCUAAUACUAGUAUGAUUACCUAGACCGAUGCAAACUUCAGUAGGGUUAAUUUUAGGGUUUUCAAGAUCUAGGGUUUUGGCAUCCCUUAAGCGGCAGGAGCAUAGUCGUAACCUCCAUCGUCAUCAUCGUCAUCAUCUCCAUCACCUUCCAGGGCUUCAGCUAGGGCAUAAUCAUAGCCACCAUGACCAUCGCCUUUGAUCAAUGCCUUUGAAUCUACAAACCCAGAAGGAACAUUAUCAUCUCCAUGCACACUCUGAUAAGCAUCGUUGAACUGUGAAGUUAAAAUCAGCAUUGAAAUGUGACUCAUGCUCUCCAUCUCGCUCUAACUAAGUAGAAACUGAUCAGCUUUAUGUGAGAGGAUCGUUGAGG
rnacentral:misc_RNA from 1 species